rnacentral:rRNA from 1 species
GUCCAGACUCCUACGGGAGGCAGCAGUGGGGAAUAUUGCACAAUGGGGGAAACCCUGAUGCAGCGACGCCGCGUGAGCGAUGAAGUAUUUCGGUAUGUAAAGCUCUAUCAGCAGGGAAGAAGAUGACGGUACCUGACUAAGAAGCCCCGGCUAACUACGUGCCAGCAGCCGCGGUAAUACGUAGGGGGCAAGCGUUAUCCGGAUUUACUGGGUGUAAAGGGAGCGUAGACGGCGAUGCAAGCCAGAUGUGAAAGCCCGGGGCUCAACCCCGGGACUGCAUUUGGAACUGUGUGGCUGGAGUGUCGGAGAGGCAGGCGGAAUUCCUAGUGUAGCGGUGAAAUGCGUAGAUAUUAGGAGGAACACCAGUGGCGAAGGCGGCCUGCUGGACGAUGACUGACGUUGAGGCUCGAAAGCGUGGGGAGCAAACAGGAUUAGAUACCCUCGUACC